CCAUCCGUCCAUCCAUUCAUCUGUCCGUCCGUCCAUCCAUCCAUUCAAGCAUUCAUCUAUCCACACACCCAUCCAUCCAUGUGUCUACACAUCUGCUCAUCCAUCCAUCCACUCAUUCCUAAGCCACUGUUGAGCACCUGUUGUAUGCCUUUUCCCUCCCUCCAACUGGUUCCCUCACAUCCUCCCCCAGUGGCCAGCAUCUUCUCCCUGAGGGCAGAGGUGUGGCCCCUCACAGUGCCUAGCACCUGCUGGUAUAUAGCUCAUGCUCAAAGAAUGUGACCACUCAGUUAACACACAGAAGAACGUGCUCCAAGCGACACGUGGCACGUCUCCUUACAAAAUGAAUCUAUCAUAGCGGCUGUUUUCAGAGGCUUUCCCAAGCAGAGUGUGAUCUGGAACAAAUUGUGAAGCCCACGAGCCUGGUGAAACAUUCAUUAUUGAGCACCUGCUGUAUACCUCCUUGAGCUGGGGAGAAGGAUCAAGAGCUCAUGGCCAAGAGGGGACCAGGCCCACCCACAAACACUGUUGAUGUGCGGCCCUGAGCUGCGGCAGGGAUGUGGCAACGCAGAAAGGAACCAGGUGGCACAGAAUGUGGUCCUGUACACAGGCGACUCCAACCUGGGGCUGGAGCCGUUUGAGGCAGCUGGAGAUAUCUUCAACGAGGCCUGGGAGUGGGAGAAAGCCGUGUCCUUCUACCGGGACCGGGCCCUGCUCCUGGCAGUGACUAUGGAAACCGCAAGGCGGAGCUGCAGCUGCAGCUGUACAACAAGCUGGUGGCACUGCUGGCCACACUGGAGGAGCCCCAGGAGGGCUUGGAGGUUGCCCACAUGGCCCUAGCACUCAGCAUCACUCUGGGGGACUGGCUGAAUGAGCACGUCGCCUACCACUGGCUGGCCGCCCUGCACCACUUGCUGGGCCAUGGCAAGCUGGCGGAGCACUUUUACCUCAAGGCCCUGUAGCUCUGCAACUCGCCGCUGGAGUUUGAUGAGGAGACCCUCUACUACGUGAAGGUGUACCUGGUGCUCGGUGACAUCAUCUUCUAUGAC